ACAGCUGAAGGGCCCAGCCCAGGGCAGAACAUUAAGAGCAACCAGCUGCAUUCCCUGGUUCAGGGAGCUCUGCCACAGGCAUCAGAACUGCUGGACUGAUAUUGUCAAACAAAGUGAAGACAUUGGGUGGAAACCAAGACACUAAAGAUGAAGUCAAUAUUAAAUUACAUAAUGUGUAAAACAAGAAUGCAAACAGAAGAGGUUUUUUGAAGACCAUAAGAAAACCUGACAUUUACCUCAGACCUGAAAGACACACAGGAUCCAAACUAGUCAACAAUCUAAGAAAUGGUGAAAAUCAGGAAAACUCCAAUCUGCUUAUUAGUGCAUUAGAUUUCAAGACAGAACUCAUUUUUGGAUGCAUGUUAAGACUAUGGGAAAGUGGUGUAC